UACGGGGGGAGCGAGCGUUGUCCGGAUUUAUUGGGCGUAAAGGGCAUGUAGGUGGUCUUUUAAGUCAGUUGUUAAAACUAUCGGCUUAACCGGUAAUUGCAAUUGAUACUGGAAGACUUGAAUCUGAGAGGGGAUAGUGGAAUAUCAAGUGUAGCGGUGGAAUGCGUAGAUAUUUGAUAGAACACCUGAGGUGAAGACGACUAUCUGGUUCAUGAUUGACACUGAAAUGCGAAAGUAUGGGGAGCAAACAGG
rnacentral:rRNA from 1 species